rnacentral:rRNA from 1 species
AGACAAUGGGCGCAAGCCUGAUCUAGCCAUGCCGCGUGAGUGAAGAAGGCCUUAGGGUCGUAAAGCUCUUUCGCCAGGGAUGAUAAUGACAGUACCUGGUAAAGAAACCCCGGCUAACUCCGUGCCAGCAGCCGCGGUAAUACGGAGGGGGUUAGCGUUGUUCGGAAUUACUGGGCGUAAAGCGCACGUAGGCGGAUUAGAAAGUUAGAGGUGAAAUCCCAGGGCUCAACCCUGGAACUGCCUUUAAAACUCCUAGUCUUGAGUUCGAGAGAGGUGAGUGGAAUUCCAAGUGUAGAGGUGAAAUUCGUAGAUAUUUGGAGGAACACCAGUGGCGAAGGCGGCUCACUGGCUCGAUACUGACGCUGAGGUGCGAAAGUGUGGGGAGCAAACAGGAUUAGAUACCCUGGUAGUCCACACCGUAAACGAUGAAUGCCAGUCGUCGGGUAGUAUACUAUUCGGUGACACACCUAACGGAUAAGCAUUC